ensembl:lncRNA
AUUGAAGGUUACUGUAAAUUUGAUCAAGUUUUCUUUAACAACUAAAAACAAAUGUUUUUCUGUAUGAUUUUUAAUACUCAAACUCCCCUUUCUUUGGGAUGGCACUUUCAUGCUGUAUGAAUUCACACAGGACAAUGUAUUCCACUCAAAUUCAGUGAAUUAUAGGGAAGAGAUGAAAGGUAAAACUGCAAGGGAAGUUUGUAUUUGAUUCUGAGUAUUCCACAUCAUAACAUCAUGCAGUGUACUGGGAGUUAGAGAGCAAAUGCUCUAGUUCUGGGUGCUUGUCCAGAAGAGAAGAACUACGUUCCCCAGAAGACUGUUUGAGUACUGUUAUCAUUCCUGCUCAGGGGAACAGAUAUAUGGCCUGUAGGUCACCUGACCUGUGUCCUCUUCCCUUUCUUCUUAUCUCAUGCUCGCUUGCGGAUCGUCUCACUGCUGCUCCCGACUGCAUGCAAGGCUUCAGUAUUAGUAGAAUGCUACAAAAGCAGUUACACUGGCAUAUAGUUAAAUCAUGGCUUUUCCUUCAGUCUGAUUUGUGACUGGAAAUCACUAGUGCAAGAUGGGAAGAUUUAAGUGUAGGUAUUGAAGAUAUUAUGGUUCUAAGUGUUAUUUGAGGGCAUUAAAAGAAAGUAUGGUUAAUUUAGGUUCUUCAUUUCCCUUUCAGUACUUCUAAUAUUCUGUUUCUGUGUUAUAUGUAAAUGUCAUAUCCCAGGAACAUGUUAUGUAUUUCCAGGCAAAACUAAAGGGUCAGUCACACAAGCAGUGUGGUUCUUGAUAUGGUCUCCUUUGGGAGCAGUGGAGAAGCUUGACUGCGGGCAAUGUAGUAUUUAGUAUCCAAAUCUAUCUUGUAUAUUUCACUUGAAAUAUCUAGGUUGUAUUAACUGUAAUGCUCCUGGGCAUUUGGGCUUUGGCUGGCAUUUUUGAUGAGUUAGAAAGAAGACCAAAACAAACAAACAAACAAAAAAAGCAGGCUGACAUGAAUCAAUCUGCUCAUUGUCUGAAGGCAGCAAACUCCUGGGCCUUCUAAUACAGAAAGAAAAUAAUUAGGGAUACAAAUUGAUCCCACUAAAAUUGUGAGGAGCAGCAGGCAAAAAAGGGUCUAGAAAAAGACUGGUGAGAAAUUACAUAGAAAUGCUCAGAGGCAUAUUUGAUAUUAAAACUCUUACUGAUUUAAUCUGUAUGUUUAGCAAACAACACAGAAAAAGUAGCACUUACGCACUUUAUGCAUCAGACAGAGAAGGAACAGCAGGAGAAAAAAAUACAGAGAUGACUUGGAGUAAUGAUAUUGUAGUACACAAAGGAACGUUAAUUGUACUAAAGGCUCUAUGGUGAUGUACUGAGGCUGUGGUCUUUCCCACUUUCUGCAGCAGUGUGAUAAAGUCAUCAUGCCUAUUAAUAGUCCACCAAAAAAACAGAAGAAAUCUUUGUGUUGAGAAAGCCUUCCAAGGGAAGAGAAGCCUCAGGGUGUGAGAAAUUAAAAAUAGUGACAGCCUGGGUAUUGUACAGCAUUUUCAUCUGAAGCAGAGUGAACUCACCACAAAAGGGUAACAUCUCUAAAGUUUGCAGCAUCAUCUCAUCUGAAGCAUGAUGUACCAUAAAACACAUGGAGCAUUUCUGUCAAAAUUUUCAUGUAAACACUUGGAAUGAGACUGUACCUGGGCUCAGAAAUCUCCUCAUGUGGAAGAAGAAAAAGCAAAAAAAAUCUACUGCUGGAGCACUGACUGUGGCAAACAGAAGACACUGUGUAAUAGCUUCAGCUGCUCAGUGGUGUGGUGAUGAUAUCUUCUGUCUUAUUAUGGCUGCUUGGAUGCUUCAAAGAAAGAUCACCUUAAAGGUUUCUAAAACUGUAUCUUUUAUAGCAGAUGUGUGAAGGGAUGUGCAAAUCAAAGGGCUUCUGUCAUUUCUGGCUGAAGUCCAAACAUCUUGGAACAACUCAGCAGAGAGUUUGAAUUGCUCACUCCAUCAUCUAUAGUGGAAUAAGUCUAAUAAUCAGAAUUCUUCUGAAGUGAUCAAAAAUUUAUGCCUAGGCAGGCUUACAGUGUUAGAGAUGCAUACUAUGUAUUAGGAGUUAAAACAUCACAUUUGAGUAUUUCUGCCAAAAUUUUUGUCUGUUUCUGCUAUAAUUUCAGGAGAACUUGGUGGCAGCUAUUAAGGUUAGUGAGUUACUGUAAAUAAGUUGUUUGAGUACAUUUGCAUUGGAAGAAUAUUCAGUGAAAUUAGGGUCAGUGUUAUAGACAGUAGAACACUUUGGCAAAUCUAACAAGGAAUUUAAAAGUUAAUAAAGCAGAAAUGUAUGUAUCUCACCCUUAUGUCCCUAUAAUAAAUAAAUCUCAUCAUUUAAGAGAAAAUCUUCCAUUUGAACUAAAAGAAAUUGUAUUCAUUUGUUAAAGAAUUAUUGAUGUUUCUUGUGGAAAAACUGAUAACAAACUGGCAAGAGUUGCUGUAUUCAGAUAAAUCUUAGCCAAAUGUUUCUUUGACCAGUAUAUCCUUUCUACGGUUUGUGAAUGGCUUGACAGUCAAAGGCACAGUUUUCUUCCACUUCUCUUCAAAAAUAUUAUCUCUUUAUGUUCUUCAAAUAUCAAAGCACGGCUUUGUUGAAGUGGAGGAAAAUACUGCUUGCCUUGAUUGCAGCUGGGGAGAUCCUGACCAGAAAGGAAGAACAGAUAUUUGGCACAUAGCCUUUGAAAAUAUGAAAGGUGGGAACUGAGAGGAGGGCAGGCAGGCAGGUGGGAAAGGGCUGAGGCAUUAACAUCGCACUGCACAAGUGGAAGGAUGCUUCAUACCAAGCAGAACUUAACAGGAGGCUGCUGUGGUCUUUGCCUCCACUGUCCGUAGUAAAUUUGCACCUAGUGUGUAUUUUCUGUUACAUCAGCAUGCAAAUGUAAUGAACAAUAUUAAUAAGCUUCAAAGGUCAUCCUCCUCUCUACUUAUGACAAGAACUGUUUCAUCAAUUGUCCAUUCGGUUAUAGCAGCCUCCACAGAUUAUUCAGGCAAGGAAAAUAAUUUUUUUUUUCAUUUGUGUUUUUGGAUUUAUCUGCCCACUCCUCUGUCCAAGUUUCAUAACACACUGGGGCAAGAAUUCAACAUCUGAAUUACAGGAAAAUUAAGCAUGCAGUCCUGUUUUUGUUUCUGCUAUGUGUGUGUGUUUUUUUUUUUUAAUGUAAUGCAUAAUCACAUCAUUAAAUAAGAUUUGAUAGUAUUAAUGUCAGGCAUCCCCUAUGAGACCUUUUGCUUUUCAAGUUGCCUUCGAUACCAAUAAAAAUACUCUAGCAAACACUUGCUAAAAUGUAAUUUUCAUGUGCUUACUUCUGCAUUUCAAACCCAAACAUGACAAGCAGUUUCCUUUCAGCAUUAGUAUCUGUUCUGGGUUUAUUUACAAUCUGUUGAGAACAACAACAACAAAAAAUUCAGUGUGAGUUUCUUUAUCUUAAAUAGUGGACAACAGAGCUAAUAUCUAAAACUAUCUAUUAGCAUGUCAGUUGAAGUGAUAUCAUACUCCCCCAGAAUAGUAGGUCUACUUUGAACAAGACUGUGAUUUAUGAUUCAGAAUCUCAAUAACUAUCUUUCUAAGCCAGUAAAGAUGACAUCUGGGUAGAACAGAUCUAGACCUAUUCAAACCACAUAGAUUUUACUAUUUAUAAAUUCAAAUUAUCUGUUUUCAACAUUGAAAGAGUGUUUCAGAAUGACUAAAAGGAACUGAUCAAUAGUGUACAACAGGCUAACUUAACCACAGGCUUCAUUGGCAACAUGCAAGAGAGAAUUUCUAAAUGUAGCAAUUUAGAAAACUGGUGGUUAGCCUUUGUUCAUCUUGUAUUUGGUGUGAACUAGGAAAUAAACUCAGCUAAAUAUAAAUGAUAGCUCUUAUAUGGCAGUUCCCUAUAAAUUUUUUUAAUAUUAAUCAUUAUAUUCCUGUAAAAAAUAAGAACUGUAAAGGCACUUGAAUUUAGAUUUUUAGUUGAAGCUUUAAGAGCUGUGGGUUUUGUCACAUACAGAAUUAAAAAAGGCAACAGAAGUCUCCUUGCACGCUGGAAGUCAGCUUGAUUAAAACUGAAGCUGCAGAAGCCGAAAGGGCAAAACUUUCACUGACUUCAACUGUGAAGAGAAAAAUACCCAGGAAGAACUUUUCGAUGCUAUUGCAAAUAUGGCACAAAUGUAGGAAUUGCAUGACCUGAGAUCUGGCUUAGAUUAUUUGAGAGUUUUCUUUUUCCUCUGUUUUUUUACUUGACUACACCCCAGAAUUCCUGUUCAUCUCAUUUUAAUGUGCUUGCCACAGCGUUCUCCCCACCCCCCCUCCAAAAAAAAAAAAAUACAAACUUUGGUGACGUGUACAGUGUGAUCAACUUCUGAAGUUUAAGUAGAAGUAGCAUUUCAUAAUAGGUGAACUGAAAAAACUUGCACUGAAUUUACUAAUACAAACUGUUGACUCAUUCUAUUAGCUUUGCAUGGGGCUUAGCUAUUGAAUCAAACUGCAUACGCCGCUGUGCUAAGAAGCUUGAAGUGUCUCGUUGACCAUUGCUUUUCAGGAGAGGGAAGCUGCCUCACUGAAAUCAACCACUGUCUUCAGUAAGGACAGAUUUUUCUUCUGGAAGAGUCAUAGUCAUUUCCAGAAGUGAUGAAUAAUGUAGUACUGUAAUACUUUUUUUUUUUUUUUUUGUCAGUAAAUGGACACUUAGUGUACAUAAUUGUAUUUCCUUAGUAUUGUUUAUCUUAAGCUCAAGAUGUGUAAUUCAUUUAGUGUUUUAUAAAUUGUUCUUUUGAAAUUGUGCCAGAUAUUAGAACAAAAAUUGGAAUGACCAUAGUAUUAUUCUUUAAUAUGGAGCACACAUAUAAACAGAAAGAACUGACUUGAAAUAAUUCAGACUUAUUAUAAAUAAGCACUGAAAAGUGCAGAUGUGAAAAAUAUAACUAUAUGAUUAAUUAUCCAGAAAAAUAAAGUGAACGCAUGCUAUAAACAAAUUAAAUGCAAACUUGCUCAUAGAAAAAGCAUGUUUUCUCUGUCCAAAACUAGAUUUAAUUUCUACUGAUAAUUAGAAACUCUGCUAAUAAUAAUACUGAACACUAAAUAUUCCUAUAAAAUAUUUAAUUUAGGAUAAGAUUUGAAAUACAGGGAGCUGCAAAUACUUCUUAUUUCUUUUAGUAGCGUGUGCUUCAGCAGUUUUCAGAUAUGCUGUCUUCUAGAAUGCUAUAUCUUCUAGAUGGCACCAGCCUUGUGAUACUUCUGAUCUAUUUUGGUUUUGAAACCUUUCCAGGUUAUUUGGAGUAUUUACAUCUCUUGCACCAAAUGUAAAUGAACUUACUACAUGAUCAAAUUUCAUCAGAAUAAUAAAUUAUCCUAGUUUAUUCCUUAUGCUGUAAGCAUGCAUCCUUGAGACUUUCAAUGUGUAGUUUAUGGAAAAUACUGCUUUUAAUUAAAAAGAAAUUUAAUUACACCAAAGGUUCUGUGUGUCACGCUCAUUGAGUACUAGACCUUGUCACUAGGUUAAUGGUAAAAAUAGAAUAAGGUCAAUUAAAUGUUUAUAAGGUAGGUUUUUAUUUUAAAAGCCAAGUGAAUGUAAGUUUUUUUUAUUAUUCUCAGAAAUCUUGUUUGUUGCAUCAAUCCAAGGAUGCUAUGGUCAGUUCAUCGGUGCGUGUUCUGUGCACAACAUAUUGUAUCUCCUUUUCCUUCUUUGUAGGUUCGCUACUCAAGGAGACCUUUGAGUAACCAGUAAUUUAGUGCAUGUCUACCAACGUGAAAGAGGAUCUCAAACUACUUUAGGCACUCACUUUUGUUGUUUUUUUAUGUUCACAGUAAUAUCCAUAGAACAUGCUCAUUAUAAAUAAUAGAACGGUAUUGCGUAUUUUAUUUUAAUUACAAUCGUAUUUAU